rnacentral:lncRNA from 1 species
GUUGGCUCUACCUGACAUCCCAUCCUUUGCAGAAUAGACUCUUACCCUCCUCACAAAAUCCCUAGAUUUGGGGACAUUUUUAGGGACGGUUGACCUUUGACUUUAUUCUUGGAAUUGCUUGGGGGCACCAUGAACCACGCCCACAGAAGAAGGCAUCUAAUCAGCCCAGUACAAAGAGCAUGACUGAUCAGACCAACUUGAGUCAAUUAUUUUUCAUCCCUGAGUUUCCUCAGUCCAGGAGAUGACCUCAAUCCUCUCAGGAAGGGGUUAAUGUACUCUUCAAAAUUCCAGGUAGAGAAAUAAAGUCCUAGUCCCCAGAGACA